UACGUAGGGUGCAAGCGUUGUCCGGAAUUAUUGGGCGUAAAGAGCUCGUAGGCGGUCUGUCGCGUCGGCUGUGAAAUCCCGAGGCUCAACCCCGGGUCUGCAUUCGAUACGGGCAGACUAGAGUUCGGUAGGGGAGUCUGGAAUUCCUGGUGUAGCGGUGAAAUGCGCAGAUAUCAGGAGGAACACCGGUGGCGAAGGCGGGACUCUGGGCCGAUACUGACGCUGAGACGCGAAAGCGUGGGGAGCAAACAGG
rnacentral:rRNA from 1 species